UUAAAUUGAAGAGUUUGAUCAUGGCUCAGAUUGAACGCUGGCGGCAGGCUUAACACAUGCAAGUCGAACGGUAACAUGAGUGCUUGCACUUGAUGACGAGUGGCGGACGGGUGAGUAAAGUAUGGGGAUCUGCCGAAUGGAGGGGGACAACAGUUGGAAACGACUGCUAAUACCGCAUAAUGUUGAGAAACCAAAGCAUGGGACCUUCGGGCCAUGCGCCAUUUGAUGAACCCAUAUGGGAUUAGCUAGUUGGUGAGGUAAAGGCUUACCAAGGCGACGAUCUCUAGCUGGUCUGAGAGGAUGACCAGCCACACUGGAACUGAGACACGGUCCAGACUCCUACGGGAGGCAGCAGUGGGGAAUAUUGCACAAUGGGGGAAACCCUGAUGCAGCCAUGCCGCGUGUAUGAAGAAGGCCUUCGGGUUGUAAAGUACUUUCGGUAAUGAGGAAGGUG
rnacentral:rRNA from 1 species